UGAAGAAGAUCCGGAGGAAGAUCCGGAACAAGCAGUCGGCCCAGGAGAGCCGCAAGAAGAAGAAGGAAUACAUCGAUGGGCUGGAGAGCAGGAUGUUGGCGUGCACGGCUCAGAACCAGGAGCUGCAGAGGAAGGUCCUGCACCUGGAGAAGCAGAACUCAUCCCUCCUGGAGCAGCUGAAGAAGCUCCAGGCCAUGGUGGUUCAGUCGAGCAACAAGGCAGCACAGACAGGG